rnacentral:rRNA from 1 species
CAGACCUAAUAUUUCCAGCUUCUGCACCAAAAAUUAAUUUUAAUCCAACAUCGAGGUCGCAAUCUUUAUCUUCGAUUAGAACUCUUUGAUAAUAUUACGCUGUUAUCCCUAAGGUAAUUAAAUCUUACAAUUAUUACUAAUAGCUCAAGUAUACAUAAAUUAAUGAUUUAAAUUUAAAAAAAGUUCGAUUAAUUUUUCAAUCACCCCAAUUAAAUAAUUAAAAAAAUUAAAAAUUUUUAUACUAAAAAAAAAUUAAAAUUUUUAAAUAUGAAACUCUAUAGGGUCUUCUCGUCUUUUAAAUUAAUCUUAGCUUUUUAACUAAAAAAUAAAUUUUUAAUGUUUAAAUAGAGACAGAAAUUUUUUUAUCCAACCAUUCAUUCCAGCUUCUAAUUAAGAAACUAAUGAUUAUGCUACCUUAGCACGGUCAAAAUACCGCGGCCAUUUAAAUCCUCAGAGGGCAGGCUA